CAGUACAAGCCUAAUUAAGGUGAAACCGCGAAAGGCUCAUUAAAUCAGUUAUGGUUCCUUAGAUCGUACGCACAUUUACUUGAAUAACUGUGGUAAUUCUAGAGCUAAUACAUGCAAACAGAGCUCCGACCAGAGAUGGAAGGAGUGCUUUUAUUAGAUCAAAACCAAUCGGCGGCAGUCACUUCGGUGUCUGUUCGUCGCCCUAUUUGGUGACUCUGAAUAACUUUAUGCUGAUCGCACGGUCUUGCACCGGCGACGCAUCUAUCAAAUGUCUGCCUUAUCAACUGUCGAUGGUAGGUUCUGCGCCUACCAUGGUUGUAACGGGUAACGGGGGAUCAGGGUUCGAUCCCGGAGAGGGAGCCUGAGAAACGGCUACCACAUCCAAGGAAGGCAGCAGGCGCGCAAAUUACCCACUCCCGGCACGGGGAGGUAGUGACGAAAAAUAACGAUACGGGACUCAUCCGAGGCCCCGUAAUCGGAAUGAGUACACUUUAAGUCCUUUAACCAGGAACCAUUGGAGGGCAAGUCUGGUGCCAGCAGCUGCGGUAAUUCCAGCUCCAAUAGCGUAUAUUAAAGUUGUUGCGGUUAAAAAGCUCGUAGUUGAAUCUGUGUCCCGUGCUGUCGGUUCACCGCCCGCGGUGCUAACUGGCACGUCUCACGGGACGUCCUGCCGGUGG
rnacentral:rRNA from 2 species